ACAGGGAAAUAGUCACAGAGAGAAAUAGAGAGAGACAGGGAAAUAGUCACAGAGAGGCAAACUAACUGUUGUCACACAUGGAAGUGAAUGGCUGCUCUGUUGACAGGUCAGUCUGGAGGUAAUAGGGGUUGUGUGGAGGUUGGAUUGUGCUUGUGUUUUUCUAUAGAUGAUUGUGAGGAUUCAUUGUAAUUUGAGUCGAAGCAGUGUGGGUUUUCAAGGGAAAGGGUUGUAUUUUCAAGUUGUGACUUGUUACGCUGGGUGAAUGGAUGAUGCGAUCAGCUAUCUUUUAAUUCAGCAGACAAGAGACAGCUGGCAUGUAGCACCUAGUAACAGUAAUUGCUUUUAAUUUGCAUAUUCUGAUGUCUUUUGUGUUAUUGUCGCAGCUUUUAAAUACAGACACAAACACUCUCGCAUAUAUAUCUGUGUGAGUUCUUCAUUUUGACAAGGGUCACAAAGGUUAGUGGUCGAAACAGGUCUGCUCCCAGGUGGUCAUGCUGGGGUGGGGCCAGGUGUGACAGUCUGGAUCAGAUGACUGGGUUUUAUGUAGACACGACAAUCUAGAAAAAUAACUAUUUCGUCUGUUUCUCUGUGUCUGUAAGGGUUACAGUGUACUCAGAGUGUUCUCAGAGUUCCCGGGAAAAGUCAGGAGGCAAAUUCCCAGUCAGAACCGAACGACAUCCUCCCUCCUCGUUUUGUCUUGCUCUCUCCCACUUCCUCUCGAUCACCUCCCCUUCCAGCUUCUUUGCCCCAGCCUGUGUAACAGUGUUGCUCUCUCCGUGUUCAGUGUGGUUACGUUAAAUGGUAGUAAGAGGGUGUUUGGUGCUGACAGAGGGUCUUACAAAGUGUGGUGGAUGAGGGCGCAAGUGUGAUUCAGGAAGAAGGGUGCAAGGCACGAGUCUGGUUGUGAGUAAAGGUGGCGUGUGUGUGAAUGAGUGUGUGUGAGUGGGUUUCUCUGUGAGUGUCUAUGGGUGUGAUCUUCUCUUUUGUACCAUUCUGGCUUCCAGGGUUCAACCCCAAUCUCCUGGGAGACGGACUGGAAAUACGUUGAGAAAUCUUUAUUGGUUUUUAUCUUGUUUGGAAAUGCUCACUCUGAAAAGCUGUGUUUCUGAUUCCUCGAACUGUUGCUGGUCUUGCUCUGAAAACACUCGUCUGUUGUAGGAGCGACAGAGGAGCACACAAUCAGUUAAAGGGAUUCAUUCUCUCCACUCUUUUUCGUCUGUCUGGUCUCUGGGCUUUGGAUGGUGGUCUCGCUGGAGCCGCAUCUGAAACCCAGGAGAGAGGAGGGGAGAGGGUCACUGAAGGGAGGGGAGAAAAAAGGAGAGCAUGGAAUUUCAAACGGGAUUCAAUCGAAUGGAUUAGCAAUCUGGAUCAUGGAUAUUAACCAAGAAGACUGCUGUGCGGUUCUAUGCUAAAGGGACCAGUACAUAUUUAGUUGACAGACGAGAGAAUCCAGUUCAGACUUAAUUGAAGAGGAUAAUCUGAGGACCAAAUUACGCCCUGAAGGACCAAACGUUGUAUCCAUAAAACCAUAUAGGAUUAAAUAUAAAAAUCAACCUAUUCUUAAAACAGGCCACAGAAGUAUAGAUAACUAGUGACAUCAUCAUGAAUGCCCCUCCAACAGGAAGCCCAGUUAUGGAGGUAAAGACGGUCUCCCAAGAGAUGGCUUUGAUAAGCAAUGCCCUGGCAGCCUACACCUUCAUAGCAGAUACACUGCCGCACCGACUGUUACUACAGUAACCGACGACGACACCACCAUCAGCAUAGCAACAGGACUCACCACCAUCCCCAUAGAGACCAUCGAUGUCACCACCAUCACCAACAUGGCAACCCUGACACCAGCAACCCCGGUGUUACCACAGAGGCAAGUGAAGACAGUGAAUCUGAGGACUGGGACGACGGGACGUCAGACUUAUCGGCCAGACGACGGAGACGGUUUGAGAGAACACUGCUGCACACCAGUGUGUUCACCUCCGCAGAAGAGUUGGAGCGAGCCCAGAGAGUCGAACAGAGAGAGAGGAUAAUACGAGAGAUCUGGAUGAAUGGACAGCCUGACGUCAACACUGUCACACGCAGCCUCAACAGAUACUACUGACAGGGAUGAGAGAUAGAGCAAGAGAUAAAGAUGGACUUUGACAAAUGGAGGGUUAGGGUUAGAAACAGAAUAGUUUGCUGCAGGCACAAGGACCACAGAGAAACUCAGAACUGCGUUUUCAUUUUUUUUGCCUUCACUUAAAUGUAAUGUGUAUUUAAAUAAUUCACUGUUGUAUUUUGUUGAAAAAAAUCUUUAUUUUUUAUAUAGCAACACCUUGUUUGUCUGUCUCAGGGAUGCUUUUCAGGCUUGUUGUUGGGGAUAAUUGUUUGUAUUUUGAAGAUAAAGCAGCCAUCAUUCCAUGAGAUACAUGUGACUAUAAAACUGCCUUAAUUUUGGUCGGUUUGUCAGCAGGGGUGAGUUCACUGGGGAACUAGCAGUGGUUAGGAUGUUUAGUGCCUUAAUCAUAGUCACUAGAGACAGAGGCACCGCUCCUAUAUACAGCCAGAUCCAAACCAGUUUCCUAUGGAUAGGAAGUGCAAUAAAGUGCCAGUAUGGACCUUUUAAAGGCUAGAUUAAGCCCCCACCAUUGCUAACAUCUGCAGUACGAUCUAUUGAGAUAUACUGACGCUGAACUAGCUAGAGCCUGUACUGUAGGCAUUGCUUGAGAAUUAACGCAGUGAAGGGGCUAACACGACAGCAGUUUCUCUUAAGUGUUUUUGGUUGUUUUCCCUAGCUUGUUGUCUGUAUCAAAAAGCUGUCUGUGAAGUUACAAGUUGUGUUGAGAGAGACGUCCUGUACGCAUCCUUCCUCUCCUCCUGGAAAUAAUCACAGAUCUGAGAGGUACAAAGGUGACAGCAGCAAGAUAGAAGCAUUCAGUUCUGUGACUUUCUGUAAGGAAGUGAUAAAAGAAUGAAAAAAAAGAUUCAACUGAAGAAUACUUUGCACUCAAACAGGGACAGUAUAUGGCUGAGACUACCACACUGACCUUAUAUUGAGUAAUAAAAACCUUUAGAAACAA